rnacentral:rRNA from 1 species
GGCGAGCGGCGAACGGGUGAGUAACAUAUCGGAACCUACCCCGUCGUGGGGGAUAACACAGCGAAAGCUGUGCUAAUACCGCAUACGACCUGAGGGUGAAAGCGGGGGACCGUAAGGCCUCGCGCGAUGGGAUCGGCCGAUAUCGGAUUAGCUUGUUGGUGAGGUAAAGGCUCACCAAGGCGACGAUCCGUAGCUGGUCUGAGAGGACGAUCAGCCACACUGGAACUGAGACACGGUCCAGACUCCUACGGGAGGCAGCAGUGGGGAAUUUUGGACAAUGGGGGCAACCCUGAUCCAGCCAUUCCGCGUGAGUGAAGAAGGCCUUCGGGUUGUAAAGCUCUUUCAGCAGGAACGAAACGGUGGCCCCUAAUACGGGCUACUAAUGACGGUACCUGAAGAAGAAGCACCGGCUAACUACGUGCCAGCAGCCGCGGUAAUACGUAGGGUGCGAGCGUUAAUCGGAAUUACUGGGCGUAAAGCGUGCGCAGGCGGUUUUGUAAGACAGUGGUGAAAUCCCCGGGCUCAACCUGGGUACUGCCAUUGUGACUGCAAAACUAGAGUGCGGCAGAGGGGGAUGGAAUUCCGCGUGUAGCAGUGAAAUGCGUAGAUAUGCGGAGGAACACCGAUGGCGAAGGCAAUCCCCUGGGCCUGCACUGACGCUCAUGCGCGAAAGCGUGGGGAGCAAACAGGAUUAGAUACCCUGGUAGUCCACGCCCUAAACGAUGUCAACUGGUUGUUGGGUCUUAUCUGACUCAAUAACGAAGCUAACGCGUGAAGUUGACCGCCUGGGGGAGUACGGCC